UACGGAGGGAGCUAGCGUUGUUCGGAAUUACUGGGCGUAAAGCGUGCGUAGGCGGCUUUGUAAGUUAGAGGUGAAAGCCCGGAGCUCAACUCCGGAAUUGCCUUUAAGACUGCAUCGCUUGAAUCCGGGAGAGGUGAGUGGAAUUCCGAGUGUAGAGGUGAAAUGCGUAGAUAUUCGGAAGAACACCAGUGGCGAAGGUGGCUCACUGGACCGGCAUUGACGCGGAGGUACGAAAGCGUGGGGAGCAAACAGA
rnacentral:rRNA from 1 species